rnacentral:lncRNA from 1 species
AUUCAUAUGGCAUAUCUUGAUUAUCUCCCCUUAGUUUUAUAUGACCUUGAUGAACAAGACUUAUAUUUUUAUUGUGUAUAUAACAUGUAUUUUUUUUUCAGUUUUUAUAAUAUUAGUAUCAUGCUUAAGACACUAUUCUGUUUUAUGGUCUCUGUUCAUAUGGAAUACAACGAAACUGCUACUGAAUUACCGUAAAUGUUGCUGUACUGACCGCAUCGAUACAUAACCCGUAAUUAUAGGAAAACACUCGCUUCAUCUAAUCAAUUCUAUGGAAGAUAUUCAGUUCCGUGUGUACAUAUCAAGUAAUCGUGAAGGAUUCGACUCAACACACUUAUUGGAGGAUAUUCAGUGCGAUUUAAUGAAAAUCCUAUACAUGUACAAUUCAAAGAC